rnacentral:rRNA from 1 species
UACGGAGGGUGCAAGCGUUGUCCGGAUUUAUUGGGUUUAAAGGGUGCGUAGGUGGCCUGCUAAGUCCGCUCUGAAAGUUGGUCGCUUAACGAUCAAGGGUGGGUGGAUACUGGUGGGCUUGGAUCAGGUGGCGGUUUCUGGAACGGGUCGUGUAGCGGUGAAAUGCAUAGAUAUGACCCAGAACUCCGAUUGCGAAGGCAGGAGGCUACGCCUGGAUUGACACUGAGGCACGAGAGCAUGGGGAGCAAACAGG